rnacentral:tRNA from 1 species
ACUGAUGUAGCUUAAUGGCAAAGCACCACAAGUCACUUUCCGUUUUAACUGUGGAGAAAAGACGGUUCGAUUCCGUCCAUCAGUA